CCUAAUACAUGCAAGUCGAGCGAACAGAUAAGGAGCUUGCUCCUUUGACGUUAGCGGCGGACGGGUGAGUAACACGUGGAUAACCUACCUAUAAGACUGGGAUAACUUCGGGAAACCGGAGCUAAUACCGGAUAAGAUUUUGAACCGCAUGGUUCAAUAGUGAAAGACGGCCUUGCUGUCACUUAUAGAUGGAUCCGCGCCGUAUUAGCUAGUUGGUAAGGUAACGGCUUACCAAGGCAACGAUACGUAGCCGACCUGAGAGGGUGAUCGGCCACACUGGAACUGAGACACGGUCCAGACUCCUACGGGAGGCAGCAGUAGGGAAUCUUCCGCAAUGGGCGAAAGCCUGACGGAGCAACGCCGCGUGAGUGAUGAAGGUCUUCGGAUCGUAAAACUCUGUUAUCAGGGAAGAACAAACGUGUAAGUAACUGUGCACGUCUUGACGGUACCUGAUCAGAAAGCCACGGCUAACUACGUGCCAGCAGCCGCGGUAAUACGUAGGUGGCAAGCGUUAUCCGGAAUUAUUGGGCGUAAAGCGCGCGUAGGCGGUUUUUUAAGUCUGAUGUGAAAGCCCACGGCUCAACCGUGGAGGGUCAUUGGAAACUGGAAAACUUGAGUGCAGAAGAGGAAAGUGGAAUUCCAUGUGUAGCGGUGAAAUGCGCAGAGAUAUGGAGGAACACCAGUGGCGAAGGCGACUUUCUGGUCUGUAACUGACGCUGAUGUGCGAAAGCGUGGGGAUCAAACAGGAUUAGAUACCCUGGUAGUCCACGCCGUAAACGAUGAGUGCUAAGUGUUAGGGGGUUUCCGCCCCUUAGUGCUGCAGCUAACGCAUUAAGCACUCCGCCUGGGGAGUACGACCGCAAGGUUGAAACUCAAAGGAAUUGACGGGGACCCGCACAAGCGGUGGAGCAUGUGGUUU
rnacentral:rRNA from 1 species